GUUUCUGUGGCCUAGUGGUUAUGGCAUCUGUCUUACAAAGUCAACUUUGAUGAUCACAGAAGAUCCCCGGUUCGAUCCCGGGCAGGAACA